UACGUAGGGGGCUAGCGUUGUCCGGAAUCAUUGGGCGUAAAGCGCGCGUAGGCGGCCCGGUAAGUCCGCUGUAAAAGUCAAAGGCUCAACCUUUGAAUGUCAGUGGAUACUGCCGGGCUAGAGUCCGGAAGAGGCGAGUGGAACUCCUGGUGUAGCGAUGGAAUGCGCAGAUAUCAGGAAGAACACCGACGGCGAAGGCAGCUCGCUGGGACGGUACUGACGCUGAGGCGCGAAAGCGUGGGGAGCGAACAGG
rnacentral:rRNA from 1 species